rnacentral:misc_RNA from 1 species
AGUGCAACUGCUAUUGCAAUUUUAUUUUGAAUUUCAGUCGAUGGCGGCAGGGGAUUGGGCAAACGAAGACGAACUGGAGCUCGUUAACGAGGAUGGCUUCGUCUACAAGCGUCGGAAGAAGUUUCAUCGUAACCCAACCGCUGCUCCGAAGCUAAAAGAUCCGGCAGUUGAGGAGAAGAAUCGACUGCAAAGGAAGAAAAAGGUGCUCAUGAAAAUCAAAGAGAGAUACCAAAACGAGAUCAACCAGUGGGAACUUUUAUCAACAACAUUGAGUGAAAUGCAGAAAAGUCAGCCAAACCCUUAUCAAGAAAGGGACACUCUAUCAUUCAACCCGCCGGUCAUGUCAUCGGAUCCGACUUGCCAACCCCUUGUUGAUCAGCUCCUUACUCAGGUUGAAGCACAGGAGGCUGUAAUUGGCAACAUAUCAAAACUUUGUGAUGUUGUUGAAGCUGUCUGGACUGCACAAGAAGAAAAAAUGAAACAGUCAGUUUUGGACCUCCCGAUCUGGGCACACACACCUGGUGAACUUAUUUCUUCCCUGUGUUCAGAUUAAGUUCUGCAAGAGAACUUUACCAGGGAAAAAUUACGUCGAUGUGUCUUUGGGCUUGUUACCUUUAUUCAGUUUCUUAGUUUGAGUUUGUUUUGUAUAUAUUCUUCUUGGACCUUCCCGCUUCAAAUGAUGGGAAUGACCACUUAGAUUCAGGAAUCCUCUGUUGUUGGAAAGGAGUGAGAUGUGGUUGUGUAACAUCUUUGUAAUGUUUAACAUCUUUUCCGUGUUCACCUGAAUAUUUUUGACAGUCUUGUCA